UGAGGAAUAUUGGUCAAUGGUCGGGAGACUGAACCAGCCAAGCCGCGUGAGGGAGGAAGGUACAGAGUAUCGUAAACCUCUUUUGUCAGGGAACAAAGGCGGGGACGUGUCCCCGGAUGAGUGUACCUGAAGAAAAAGCAUCGGCUAACUCCGUGCCAGCAGCCGCGGUAAUACGGAGGAUGCGAGCGUUAUCCGGAUUUAUUGGGUUUAAAGGGUGCGCAGGCGGUCUGUUAAGUCGGCGGUCAAAGCCCGGGGCUCAACCCCGGCCCGCCGUUGAAACUGGCAGUCUCGAGUUGGAGAGAAGUAUGCGGAAUGCGCGGUGUAGCGGUGAAAUGCAUAGAUAUCGCGCAGAACUCCGAUUGCGAAGGCAGCAUGCCGGCUCCACACUGACGCUGAGGCACGAAAGCGUGGGUAUCGAACAGG
rnacentral:rRNA from 1 species